rnacentral:misc_RNA from 1 species
GAACGCACCUUGCGCCCCUUGGCUAUUCCGAGGGGCAUGCCUGUUUGAGUAUCAUGAACACCUCAACUCCAACGGUUCACCCGUGACGAGCUUGGACUUCUGGAGGUUUUGCUGGCCUGCGGUCGGCUCCUCUCAAAUGGAUCAGCUUACCAGUGUUUGGUGGCGCCAUGGGUGUGAUAACUAUCUAUGCCUGCGGCCGUCUGCCAGGAGACCUUCAGCGAUGAGGGUUUGCUGGGGCUUACAAAUGUCUCUCCUCAGCGAAGACAGCUUUUGAACGUUCGAUCUCAAAUCAGGUAGGACUACCCGCUGAACUUAAG